AAAAUUGAGGUUCGGCAUGGGCUCUCACUAGUGAUCCAAUCCAUGUUAAAUAGAAACUACUACAUUUUGAAUCCAGGUCAGAAGGUCGAACGGAAUUUACAGCUCAAGAUGACAUCGAAACGCCAUCUUUAGUUUCUCCCCACUUGGAAGGUAACCUUGAAAGAGAUAUCAUCAAAGGACACAGUCAAACUGAGAGGAUAUUUCGGUAAUUCUCGUCUCCCAUUGGAAAGUGGGUCAGAUCCCCUUCUCCCAUCCAUCCAGAAGGAAAAAACCGCAAGAAAC
rnacentral:lncRNA from 1 species